CAGCAAGCCGUCAGGAUCCCAUGCUUCCCGUCCAGGCCGGCCCUCUCCCUGCUCCCUUUCUCCUCCUUCCUCGGUUUCCAGAUCCAGCCCGUCUACAGCUCCCCUCGCGCCCAUGGUCCAGAUCAGCUGCUCGAGCUCCUUGUGCUCCAGCAGGAGCUCAACCGUGGUGCCCCUCUGCCCCUGACGCGCUCGACCGCCGAAGCGGCCCUCGUCGGCUACGACAGGAGCAGCAGAGACCAGGGAGAGCAGUAGCAGGAGGUGCUCUCAUGGCGUUGAACGAGCACCCUGCCAUGGAUCCCACCCCAACUCCGUCUCGAUCCGUUGCCCUGCGGACGGAUCUGCGACCUGGCGCCCCAUCCCCAAGCAUCGGCCUCGUACCUCGCCGUUCCCGCGCCUCCAGACUGCAGCCCCAGCUAGCCGCGCAGCCUGCAUCUCGAACGGGCAAGAGAGAAUGCUCUGUUUCAGGUUCAGUUUCGUCAGAAUUUCGAGGGAGUUCCGCAAGCGUGUCGAAUGUGGACCGUUCGACUACGU